rnacentral:tRNA from 1 species
GCGGGUGUAGCACAAUGGUAGUGCGCUUGCUUGCCAAGCAAGAUACGCGAGUCCGAUUCUCGUCACCCGCUCCA